GAUGAACGCUAGCUACAGGCUUAACACAUGCAAGUCGAGGGGAAACGAUGCGAGAGCUUGCUCUCUUAGUCGUCGACCGGCGCACGGGUGAGUAACGCGUAUCCAACCUGCCUCUGACCAAGGGAUAACCCGUCGAAAGUCGGACUAAUACCUUAUGCAGUCGUCGGAAGUCAUCUGAUGACGACGAAAGAUUUCAUCGGUGAGAGAUGGGGAUGCGUCUGAUUAGCUUGUUGGCGGGGUAACGGCCCACCAAGGCGACGAUCAGUAGGGGUUCUGAGAGGAAGGUCCCCCACAUUGGAACUGAGACACGGUCCAAACUCCUACGGGAGGCAGCAGUGAGGAAUAUUGGUCAAUGGGCGUAAGCCUGAACCAGCCAAGUAGCGUGCAGGAUGACGGCCCUAUGGGUUGUAAACUGCUUUUAUGCGGGGAUAAAGUGAGGGACGUGUCCUUCAUUGCAGGUACCGCAUGAAUAAGGACCGGCUAAUUCCGUG
rnacentral:rRNA from 1 species